rnacentral:lncRNA from 1 species
AUAGGGGGCGGUGAUCUACGUCGCAAGGGUGAUGGAGAUUUACGGCGCACAGGAAACAGAGAUCUACGACGUAUAGGUGAUGGAGAUCUACGGCGCCCAGGCGAAGGAGAUCUACGAUGCACAGGUGAUGGAGAUCUUCGACGCACAAGUGAUGGAGAUCUACGACGUCGAACAAGGGAUGGUGAUCUGUGACGUCGAUUUGAUAAUGGUGAUCUAUGACGUCGGAUUGGUGAUGGUGAUCUAUGACGUCGGAUUGGUGAUGGUGAUCUAUGACGUCGGAUAGGUGAUGGUGAUCUAUGACGCCGGAUGGGUGACCGUGAUCUACGACGCACGGGUGUAGGUGAUCUGCGCCGAUAUGGGGAACGUAAUCUACGUCUUAUAGGAGAUCGUGAUCUGCGAGGUGAGCGAGAUCGAGAUCUUCGCCUAGAAU